GAUGAACGCUGGCGGCGUGCCUAAUACAUGCAAGUCGAGCGAACAGACGAGGAGCUUGCUCCUCUGACGUUAGCGGCGGACGGGUGAGUAACACGUGGAUAACCUACCUAUAAGACUGGGAUAACUUCGGGAAACCGGUGCUAAUACCGGAUAAUAUAUUGAACCGCAUGGUUCAAUAGUGAAAGACGGUUUUGCUGUCACUUUUAGAUGGAUCCGUGCCGCAUUAGCUAGUUGGUAAGGUAACGGCUUACCAAGGCAACGAUGCGUAGCCGACCUGAGAGGGUGAUCGGCCACACUGGAACUGAGACACGGUCCAGACUCCUACGGGAGGCAGCAGUAGGGAAUCUUCCGCAAUGGGCGAAAGCCUGACGGAGCAACGCCGCGUGAGUGAUGAAGGUCUUCGGAUCGUAAAACUCUGUUAUUAGGGAAGAACAAAUGUGUAAGUAACUAUGCACGUCUUGACGGUACCUAAUCAGAAAGCCACGGCUAACUACGUG
rnacentral:rRNA from 1 species